rnacentral:misc_RNA from 1 species
ACCGUCUCUAUCUCUUUGCUCAUACCCAAAUCGACAACUCUUUCCACAACCAUGCAAGAUGACGGCAUGCUCAAGAAAGAACGAGCUUACAUAAAAUCUAAGGCCGAAAUUGCAGACAUGCAUUUUGACGAGUUGCUACAGAUUGUGAAUGGAUUUGGCCCCUACCAGAAACUACGACUGUUCCUGAUAUGUUUGGUUGGUAUUGUAUGUGCGUUCCAUGCAAUGAAUAUGGUGUUUGUUGGAGCUAAACCCGACUAUCAAUGCAAGAUUGGUGCUAUGAACCUUUCUGAAAGUGACGGUUUCGUUAACACAAGUUUCACACAAUGGAUGAAUUUUUUAAGAGCCAAAGGAGACGGAUGUGAGAUGUAUAACCCAACACAGGCAUACAAUAUGAUCGCCAACGGAACUCUGGCCAUCCGGGGGUCCGAAGUCACGGGGGAUUCUAACUUGCCCUUGGAGACCUGCACGGAAUGGGAGUACUCGGAAGAUGUAUACGGGCCGACCAUCGUAUCUGACUUUGACCUGGUUUGUAGUCAGGCAUGGCUCCGAAGUACAUCGAAGACAUUCUACUUCUUAGGUCGUCUCCUUGGGGCAGUCAUAUUCGGACAGCUCUCAGAUAUAUUUGGGAGGAAGCCAAUGUUCUUUUUCGGUCUACUGUUCCUACUGAUAGCCGGAUGUGUUGCAGCUGUAGCGCCCUCUAUGGCGGUGUUCAUUCCAUUUUAUAUCCUACAGGGGGCAGCACAGACCGGCCUCUUUCUGGUUGCGUAUACAAUGUGUACAGAAUUGGUGGCACCAAAAUAUCGACUGAUGGCUGGGUUUAUGAUACAGAGUUUCUACAGUGUGGGGUACAUGACCCUGUCUCUGAUGGCCUACUUUAUCCGACACUGGCGCUACAUUGAGGUUGCCAUCACCGUUCCCGUGGCCCUGUUUGCAGCCUACUGGUGGUGUCUUCCAGAAUCUGUCCGCUGGUUGCUUUCCAAGAACAAGAUUGAGGAGGCCAGGGUGAUCAUGAAAAAAGUAGCUAAGACCAAUAAAGUAGUUCUUACCGACAACAUGAUGGAGAAUUUAACCGAUAAAAAAGACCAACCGGAAGUUCCCGAAGACAGGAAGUACACCUUUCUUGACUUGCUGCGACCUUUUCCAAUGUUUUUACUAUCCAUCAACGUUUGGUUUAAUUGGUUGAUCAACGCUAUGGUGUACUACGGUCUGUCACUGGGUACAGAUAACCUGGGAGGCGAUCCCUACAUCAACUUCUGUAUAGCCGGGGCUGUGGAGAUCCCAGCCUAUGUCCUCUGUGUCAUCUUCCUCAACAGGCUGGGUAGGCGCUGGCCCCUCUGUGGAACCAUGCUUGCGGGAGGGAUAUCGUGUAUCAUAUCUGGAUUUAUCCCUAAUGACAUGGUAGCAGUAAAGGUCACAUUCGCAAUGUUGGGAAAGUUCGGAAUUACAGCAUCAUACGGUAUAAUCUACUUGAUGGCAGCCGAGGUGUUCCCAACGGUUGUCAGAAAUGCUGGUAUGGGCGUAUCCUCCAUGUGUGCACGUAUUGGGGGAAUGUUGGCCCCCCAGAUGUUGGAGUUGAAACAGGUUUGGGGCCCACUGCCGCUCAUCCUCUUUGGUGGUCUGUCGAUCCUGGCCGGCGGACUCGCCUUGUUACUUCCGGAGACUGCGGGGAAACCCCUUCCCCAAACCAUCGAGGAUUGUCUUAACAACCGGUCAAAGAAAGUUACGAAAGAUUUAGAGACAACUGAGAAGAUUAAUUUACAGGAAAAACUAUAGUAUCUAAUCAAUACUAGAAUUUAAAUAUUUUAUUUAUAUAUAUAUGACUGUACUGACAGAUAUAUAACAAGACUUUGAUAGAUGAGCUUCAGUUUAAAAAACCCCAAUGAAUAACAAAAUCACGAGAUGAUUUGUUCCGUGGAGUUUAUCUGGAAUUGAAGAAAUAAUUAGGCAAAUAUCCAUUACGAUGCCUUUAAAAAUGGACUUUUACUUGUAUUCUUCAAAUUGUAAAUUAAAAUGUAAUUUACUAGCUUUAUGCACGACGCCAACGAAAAAGUAAAUCAUAGUAACUUAUAUAUAAAACAACUUCCAAGAUAACAGCGUAAGUACAAUUGUAAAUUCCUUUGAUCAAUUACUCUUUCCAAACGUUCUCAUAAUGUGCUAUAAUUUAUGUUCUCAUUUUUCGCUAUAAUUUAUGUUCUCAUUUUUCGCUAUACUUUAUGCUCUCAUUUUUCGCUAUAAUUUAUGUUCUCAUUUUCCGCUAUAAUUGAUGUUUUUAUGGUGUGCUAUAGUUUAUGUUUUUCUAGUUUGGUAUGAUUCAUAUUAACAUGAUGUGAUAUAAUUUAUGUUCUCGAUCGUUUGCUGUCAUUAUUCUCUAUACUUCCUCCAAAAUGAAGAUUACAUAAACAUAGUUAUAUAUAAGAAUUAAUCAACACAUAUACAUACAUGGACGUUGAAAAAGUACAAACGUAUUGUUAUUUUAAUGUGUACAUAAAUAUUUUAUAAGAGAAGGGAUUGUACAUUGUAAGGGCAUCAUUGCUUUAAUAAACAAUCAGACGAUUUGCACUAAUCUUAAUUGUUCAUAAUCUUCAAAUGACAGCUUAUAACUUAAUUCACUACCCAAUAGGGUAUUAGUCAAAUCGAAAUCUGGUAAAUUAUGCAAAUAAACAUUGAGUUGUAUAUCACAUAUACUUCAGUAAUUAAAUGACACCACACUUUGUCUCUUACUUCAGUACUGUUAUCACAAUGUAUAUCAUCGGUCUUUCACGUGCAUAAAACCGCACAGACCUCUAUAUGUAUGAGUGUGUACGUGCUGGAGGAUAUCACGUGAUCUCUAUGAGUACCUCUAUAUGUAUGAAGGUGUAUGUGCUGGAGGAUAUCACGUGAUCUCUAUGAGUACCUCUAUAUGUAUGAGUGUGUACGUGCUGGAGGAUAUCACGUGAUCUCUAUGAGUACCUAUAUAUUUAUGAGUGUGUACGUGCUGGAGGUUAUCAAGUGAUCUCUAUGAGUACCUCUAUAUGUUUGAGGGUGUACGUGCUGGAGGAUAUCACGUGAUCUCUAUGAGUACCUAUAUAUUUAUGAGUGUGUACGUGCUGGAGGUUAUCACGUGAUCUCUAUGAGUACCUCUAUAUGUUUGAGGGUGUACGUUCUGGAGGUUAUCACGUGAUCUCUAUGAGUACCUCUAUAUGUUUGAGGGUGUACGUGCUGGAGGAUAUCACGUGAUCUCUAUGAGUACCUCUAUAUGUAUGAGGGUGUACGUGCUGGAGGUUAUCACAGGAUCUCUUUCUAUAUUUAUGAGGUCGUAUGUGCGCAAGGUUGAAUAUUUGUUUUGGUUGUUGCAACUUGUUAAGGAGAAUACUAUCGUCUAAUAAGAUAGAAUUAUUUGGCGGGGAUAACAUUUUCAGAAUGACUAAAGAAGGAUUAGUUAGAAGUUCAUUUUCUUUAACACUUUUUGGAAAGAAAUUUUAUAUGGUCAUCAAUUGUAGAAAAUAAACCACCCACAACCCCACAACAAAUUGUUUCCCAACCUAUCUGGUAUAAUGACAGUAUUAAAAUAGAUAGAAGACCUACUUUUUAUAGACAGUGGUGUUUAAAAGGAGUUUUCUUUAUUAACGAUCUUGUAAUAAAUAACAGUUUUAUGUCUUUUGAAUGAAAUGUUCACAGAAAAAUAUGAUAUUGAUA